UCGAUCGUUUCAAUUCGCCGGCCCUCGACGCUUAUCUUCCUCCUCUCUCUGUUCUAUCAUACCCUAGACCCGGUGUUGCAGUACAAGGCUCUUUCGAAAUGGCGUCGUCGACGGCGUCGGACCCGAGCAUGGGGAUUCCUGACGAAGCAGGACACGGAGGUGAAGCUGCCCCGGCCGACCUGAGUAAAGAACAAGAACCCGGCGCCCAUCCAGAUCACCGCCGAGCAGAUCCUGUGCGAGGCCAUGGAGCGGCAAGAACCCGAGAUCCACCCCCCGAAGAAGAAUCACCGACGUCCACGAGCUCAACGACUACCGCCUCCUCAACCGCAAGGAGUUCGAGGACCCUAUCCGUCGCGCCUGCUGGAACACCGGCGCCUGGAUCAAGUACGAAGCGUGAGAUGCGCCACAUUUCGUCAAACCACCCCUUGACCAUGUACAGGAAGUACAUUGCGUUUGACAUGCAGUUAGGGGAUGGGUGGGGAUUGAGGAUGCCAUUGUCAAAAAGAGGAGGUAAGGGAUGAGGAAGAGGCGAGAAAGAACCCUUUAAAUUAUGACUGCUGGUUCGAUCACAUAAGGCCCGAGGAGAGUGUGGGAAACGAGGAUAUGGUAAGGGAGGUGUCUGAGAGAGCGAUUGCCAGCGUGCCUCCGGCGGCGGAGAGAAGCAGUUUUGGCAAAGAUACAUUUAUCUGUGCUCUGCCAUCUUGUCCAAUUGACAAUUGUGUUGUGGAUAAUACUUCACGAAGAACUCGACGCUCAAGACAUCGAUAGGUCGAGGGAGGUUUACAGGUAAGUAGCAACAGCUUUAGGAAAGAGUAUUUUGCUGUGUUUUCACCUUAAUUGUGAAAUGCAAAAUGAAGAAGCUUUAGUUGUGAAAGUGCAUAUGAGCUUAAAUGAGACAGUGAUUGCUGCAAUUUAGGUCUUGGAUGGUAUUAUAGGGGAUGUAUAUUUCUCUUCUAUGAGUUAUGUAACUCUUUGUAGGACCUAUCCUUGAGAAAAUGCUUCUGAUAUCAUAUUGGAGAAUAUGAUGGUGCAUCAUUGUUAUGUGUGUUGUGGGGUUUAGGAUC